rnacentral:rRNA from 1 species
UGAACGCUGGCUACAGGCUUAACACAUGCAAGUCGAGGGGAAACGACGGGGAAGCUUGCUUCCCCGGGCGUCGACCGGCGCACGGGUGAGUAACGCGUAUCCAACCUGCCUCUGACUGAGGGAUAACCCGUCGAAAGUCGGCCUAAUACCUCAUGGCAUCGUCUGCGGGCAUCCAACGACGAUUAAAGAUUUCAUCGGUCAGAGAUGGGGAUGCGUCUGAUUAGCUUGUUGGCGGGGUAACGGCCCACCAAGGCGACGAUCAGUAGGGGUUCUGAGAGGAAGGUCCCCCACAUUGGAACUGAGACACGGUCCAAACUCCUACGGGAGGCAGCAGUGAGGAAUAUUGGUCAAUGGGCGAGAGCCUGAACCAGCCAAGUAGCGUGCAGGAUGACGGCCCUAUGGGUUGUAAACUGCUUUUAUGCGGGGAUAAAGUGAGGGACGUGUCCUUCAUUGCAGGUACCGCAUGAAUAAGAACCGGCUAAUUCCGUG